rnacentral:rRNA from 1 species
AUACGGAGGGUGCAAGCGUUAUUCGGAAUCACUGGGCGUAAAGGACGCGUAGGCGGGUUGGCAAGUCAGAUGUGAAAUCCUACAGCUUAUCUGUAGAACUGCAUUUGAAACUGCUAACCUAGAGUAUGGGAGGGGGAGAUGGAAUUAGUGGUGUAGGGGUAAAAUCCGUAGAUAUCACUAGGAAUACCGAAAGCGAAGGCGAUCUCCUGGAACAUAACUGACGCUAAGGCGUGAAAGCGUGGGGAGCAAACAGGAUUAGAAACCCCAGUAGUCC